AUUGAACGCUAGCGGGAUGCCUUACACAUGCAAGUCGAACGGAGUGGCGAACGGGUGCGUAAUGUAUCGGAACGUGCCCAGUAGCGGGGGAUAACUACGCGAAAGCGUAGCUAAUACCGCAUACUAUUGGAGCGGCCGCUAUCGGAUUAGCUAGUGGGUGGGGAAACGGCUCACCAAGGCGACGAUCCGUAGCUGGUUUGAGAGGACGACCAGCCACACUGGGACUAAGACACGGCCCAGACUGCUACGGGGGGCAGGAGUGGGGAAUUUUGGACAAUGGGGGAAACCCUAAUCCAGCCAUACCGCGUGUGCGAUGAAGGCCUGCGGGUUGUAAAGCACUUUUGGCAGGAAAGCGGUACCUGCAGAAUAAGCACCGGCUAACUACGUGCCAGCAGCCGCGGUAAUUC
rnacentral:rRNA from 1 species